rnacentral:rRNA from 1 species
UACGUAGGGGGCAAGCGUUGUCCGGAAUCAUUGGGCGUAAAGAGCGUGUAGGCGGCCGUACAGGUCAGCUGUGAAAACUCGAGGCUCAACCUCGAGACGUCGGUUGAAACCGUACGGCUAGAGUCCGGAAGAGGAGAGUGGAAUUCCCGGUGUAGCGGUGAAAUGCGCAGAUAUCAGGAGGAACACCGGUGGCGAAGGCGGUUCUCUGGGCAUGUCCUGACGCUGAGGAGCGAAAGUGUGGGGAGCGAACAGG